CAGUGUGUAUUGAACCAAACUGAUAAAGCUUGUGCGUUAAUCAUUAGUUAGGGAAGUUAGUGAAUGUUGUUCAUAUACAUUUGUGAGCGUGUUUGCAAGCAUAUGUAAAAUCAGUUUCUUUACACAAGGCAUUUUACAGCAUACAUUCAAACAAACCUGCAUUGUGUGUUAGUCAUUAAUUAGAGCAUGUUACAUACAUUUGUGAGCGCUGGUAAGCAUGUGUGUAAUUAAAACCAGUUUCUGUAUAUAAUGCCUUUUAUAGCGUUCAUUCAAACAAACUCAUUUACCUUGUGUGUUUAUUUGUUUUGGAAUGUUUCUCACGUGCGCUUGUGAUUAUAUUUAAAACAAAAGCCGAUAGCCUAGCGCAAGGCAUAUUACAGUGUUCAUCCAACAACACCAAAUUAUAUGGUUUAUGGGGAGACUGGCAGGUUUUCACUAAUGUACAUGCAGAAAAUUGUCAAAAUAUAAGCAAGAGAACAGAGCAAAACGAAGCUAGGUUCCCGAUAACAAGUUCGAAACAACAAUUCCCUGAUGGAUUUAAAAAUGGAACAUUGUUAAAACUGAUAUGCCAUGGUAAUGUCGGUUACCAACCAAAUGAUCUUCAAUAAUGUUAUAAGAAACGAGAAGAGAAUUUCUUCUUUGAUUAUCCUAAAAUUCAAGAUCUUAGUCAGGGAAGAGCAACUGUGUUACCAAAUUGUACAUAUUCUCGAAAGUCGACACUACAGUAUACAGUUACGGAAGAUGGCGUAGAGUUCGUAUGUAAAGCGAACAAAAACACGGGAUGUAUUCUUGUAAAUACUAAUUUGACAGCUUAUACAAUUCGCAUUGCAAACGUUACAUCGGACGCUUCUUCUGCAAACAUAGGCGUUUACAACUUUAAUUCGUCUGCCAUUUCAAUAAUAAGCACAAUCUCUAAAUCAAUAUUUAUAGCUGCAAUACUGCAACUAAUUAUAUUUACGUAACUGCGUAAAUUACAGGAGUGCCAACAUUUUUCUAUUUACAUGUUAAUGUCAACAAUAUAAAAAAAUAGUCAAUAUAUUUAAAAUAGUCGAAAGCCAGUGUGAUAACCUGCAAAUGAUGAAUAACCUAUGGUUUUCUUUUCUAUGGUAAUUUCGAUAUUAACUUUAUAUAUAAAAGAUUUGUUUUGAC